GGCUUGGCGACAAAGAUCCACUGCUCUAGCCUCUAGGUGGUAUUGCGAGCAUGGCCACAUCGAAGUUCCUAAGCUCUAGUGCCUACAUUAGAAAUUAAAGACACCAUCGCUAUGCCUCUCCUAGACUGACUGACUGACGGUUUACCCCUUAGAGCUGUGUCAAGGGGUGACCUCCAGGAGGCUAUUAAAAGUGCUUUCACUUGAUGAAAACGGGAACCAAGUACAGAAACAAGGAACAAAAUGUACCAGGAAUUGCUUUAUGAUCUCCAAACAACAUAUAUGACUUGCUUUGUGUGUGGGCACGAAAAGUUUAUGCUCUUUCAUGGAAUGUGCGCUGCUGUCCAAAGUGUGCGCUUUUGUACAGAUGCAAGCUCAAGGUUGAUAUAUAAUCAGCACAUGAUGGACGAUCUCAGCACAUGAUGGCCCUCUGAUUGAGCUCCCAGCAGAUCCCAGCCAUCUUUUUCACCGCGUGGAUCCGAGGAGUACUUACAACAGGGCAUCUGCAUAAUUUACGGCAACCAAGCCAAUAGCUCUUUGAGAGUACCUCAAUUAGAUGGCCAAGAAUUUGAUCCUCCUGAUUACCGUCUGACUGACCUCUAAAUUUGUUAUCGAGAAGAGAACGCAGCUGCAGCAAAAGGCUAUGAAUUGAAUUGAAUGUAGAAGACUUUGCGGGCCGAGGUAAAUUUCCAUUUUCCGUCUUAGCUGAUACAUGAGGAUCAGAGCACUGAGAACUAUGAGAUGCCACUUCACAGCUUCCGCAAGGCAUCAGCGGAUACAUAGACUGUGAGAAGAGGCAACAUGUGUGAUCCCUCACUCCGACAACCUAAGCCCUAGAUGAGUUGUUCCAACUAUUUGUUUCUUAUAAACCAGGUCAAGGUUCAUCUUACUUUUAAUCAACAUUCUGAUCUACUUGCAUUUUGUGGUGUUUAUCCUGAGACUAAAAUAGUUAUUCCAGGUUACUUGCACUGAUAAAUGGAGAUUGCGCCAGUCAUCUAUCAAGAUUCUAAUCUGCCUACAUUUUUUGGUCUUCUUUUGUAAAGACUGAGCCAAUAUGCCAUCUUCAAGUCAGGAUCAUUCUUGAGAGUAAUUAUGGGAAGUUGCAAAAAGUCGGCUGGGAAGAGUAGCCGAAGUGAUAAAAGGUGGGACUUACUGCAGCGGAAAAAAUAUGUUUAUCUCUAUUUUUGGAUAAGAGUGAGCAUGGUUAGUAUUUCAGAUAUACAUUCACUAAAGUAGAUGGAAUUUCCAGAUCAAACAUGGG